rnacentral:rRNA from 1 species
GAUGAACGCUGGCGGCGUGCCUAAUACAUGCAAGUCGAGCGAACAGACGAGAAGCUUGCUUCUCUGACGUUAGCGGCGGACGGGUGAGUAACACGUGGAUAACCUACCUAUAAGACUGGGAUAACUUCGGGAAACCGUAGCUAAUACCGGAUAAUAUUUUGAACCGCAUGGUUCAAUAGUGAAAGACGGUCUUGCUGUCACUUAUAGAUGGAUCCGCGCUGCAUUAGCUAGUUGGUAAGGUAACGGCUUACCAAGGCAACGAUGCAUAGCCGACCUGAGAGGGUGAUCGGCCACACUGGAACUGAGACACGGUCCAGACUCCUACGGGAGGCAGCAGUAGGGAAUCUUCCGCAAUGGGCGAAAGCCUGACGGAGCAACGCCGCGUGAGUGAUGAAGGUCUUCGGAUCGUAAAACUCUGUUAUUAGGGAAGAACAUAUGUGUAAGUAACUGUGCACAUCUUGACGGUACCUAAUCAGAAAGCCACGGCUAACUACGUG